UGCCAGCCGCCGCGGUAAUACGUAGGGGGCGAGCGUUGUCCGGAAUAACUGGGCGUAAAGGGUGUGUAGGCGGUUUGGUAAGUUAGAAGUGAAAUCCCUAGGGCUUAACCCAGGUGCUGCUUCUAAAACUAUCAGACUUGAGUGCAGGAGAGGAAAGUGGAAUUCCUAGUGUAGCGGUGGAAUGCGUAGAUAUUAGGAAGAACAUCAGUGGCGAAGGCGACUUUCUGGACUGUAACUGACGCUGAGACACGAAAGCGUGGGUAGCAAACAGGAUUAGAUA
rnacentral:rRNA from 1 species